rnacentral:rRNA from 1 species
GUGCCAGCAGCCGCGGUAAUUCCAGCUCCAAUAGCGUAUAUUAAAGUUGUUGUGGUUAAAAAGCUCGUAGUUGAACCUUGGGCCUGGCUGGCCGGUCCGCCUCACCGCGUGCACUGGUCCGGCCGGGCCUUUCCCUCUGUGGAACCCCAUACCCUUCACUGGGCGUGGCGGGGAAACAGGACAUUUACUUUGAAAAAAUUAGAGUGCUCCAGGCAGGCCUAUGCUCGAAUACAUUAGCAUGGAAUAAUAAAAUAGGACGCGCGGUUCUAUUUUGUUGGUUUAUAGGACCGCCGUAAUGAUUAAUAGGGACAGUCGGGGGCAUCAGUAUUCAACUGUCAGAGGUGAAAUUCUUGGAUCAGUUGAAGACUAACUACUGCGAAAGCAUUUGCCAAGGAUGUUUUCAUUAAUCAGGAACGAAAGUUAGGGGAUCGAAGACGAUCAGAUACCGUCGUAGUCUUAACCAUAAACUAUGCCGACUAGGGAUCGGACGGUGUUAUUCAUGACCCGUUCGGCACCUUACGAGAAAUCAAAGUGCUUGGGCUCCAGGGGGAGUAUAGGUCGCAAGGCUGAAACUUAAAGAAAUUGACGGAAGGGCACCACCAGGGGUGGAGCCUGCGGCUUAAUUUGACUCAACACGGGGAAACUCACCAGGUCCAGACACAAUAAGGAUUGACAGAUUGAGAGCUCUUUCUUGAUUUUGUGGUGUGUGCAUGGCCGUUCUUAGUGUGGGGUGACUUGUCUGCUUAAUUGCGAUAACGAACGAGACCUUAACCUGCUAAAUAGCCCGCAUUG